GUGACCCUUAUCGAGAACCCCUUCUGUAGGAUUGGGAAUUUUUUCUGCAGGAGUGAAGGUCCAGUUGCCUUGGGUUUGCAAAUUAGGGCGACUAGGGGUUGCCAUGAACAGAAACUCUCCGGCUUCCGUCUUUGUUCGUGGGUGUUGAUUUCAUCAGAUUUACUGGGCAAGAACAGAUGGAUUGUGCUUUAGGAGCGCUGUAAUGGCUAUCGCCCAACUUUGAUCUGAUGUAAAGAGCUCGAUCUGUUCUAGCUGUCUUCCUUGUAUUCAUACACUUGCUAUGUCGCUUCGGUAAAUCUCACAGUAUGGGAUGUGACCCUGUAAUUUCUCACAUCUAACCUGAACUUAGGCCUUAUCUCCCAAUGACCACCCCCAUUGUCAUUGCGCAUAAGCCCUGAUUGUUUGUGGU